rnacentral:rRNA from 1 species
GACGAACGCUGGCGGCGUGCCUAAUACAUGCAAGUAGGACGCAGUUGCGAACGGGUGAGUAACGCGUAAGUAACUGCCUAUUAGAGGGGGAUAACUAUUGGAAACGUUAGCUAAUACCGCAUACUAGUAGAUGGACCUGCGUUGUAUUAGCUAGUAGGUAGGGUAAUGGCCUACCUAGGCAACGAUACGUAGCCGACCUGAGGGGGUGAUCGGCCAAACUGGGACUUAAACACGGCCCAGACUCCUACGGGAGGAAGCAGUAGGGAAUCUUCGGCAAUGGGGGGAACCCUGACCGAGCAACGCCGCGUGAGUGAAAAAGGUUUUCGGAUCGUAAAGCGCUGUUGUUAAGGAAGCGGUACUUAACCAGAAAGGGACGGCUAACUACGUGCCAGCAGCCGCGGUAAUAC